AAACAGUGGCCAUGAGCUCACCUCUCUUUUUCCUCUUCAUUGGUCAUUUACUUAUUCCUGUGGAGUGUAUUUGUAUCCUUUCUCAGAAAGACAGGAAGGAUGAAGUAUGCAGAGAUGCUCAUUUCUUUCUACUCUUCCUCCAAUGAGAGGUAAUCAGGCAGAAGCAGCAAAGAAGCAGUGAGAACAUUAAGGUGCAAGACGAAUGAUGCUGAGAAAGUAGCUCAAGACUGAGAUUUGCUAUUACUACAGUAUCACCCAGACUGUAUCACUAAAAAGUAGUGACUGACCAAGUUAAAGGCUGCCUAACCAUUACACAUUAUGGUUUGUCAGAUUCUUGACAAUCUAGCAUAUGUGUUGCUAGAAUAUUCAAAGUAUAGCCAGAUAAAAGUUGCCUGCACCUCAGACUUGUCCUUCAAAAAUAAAAUCUAACCCUACAAUCUGGCAAAACUUCCCUCAACAGACUUGAACAAUGACUAAUUUAGGUCCUUGUGAAUUCCUUGGUAUUUUCUAAAAAGAGAAGCCUUUCUCAGGAAAGUGCCCUACAGCUGCAACUCCAAUAAUUUCUAGUCAUCAUGCCAGGUUUGGUGGGAGUUGCUGCCAAAUUGGGGAAGACUGCUUUGGGCAGCCACUACUGCCAUGCAAUUCCAUGAGUAGGCUAAUAUAAGGCAGUGGAACUGCUCAGAGUUCUUUAAUAUAUAUAUAUAUAUAUUUCUACCUAGAAAUCAUUGGGAAUCAAGAAUGUAUAUAUGACCAUACAGGAAAGUGGGGAUUUCAUUACAA